AUGAACGCUAGCGACAGGCCUAACACAUGCAAGUCAGGGGCAGCACAAGGAGCAAUCUGAGGUGGCGACCGGCGCACGGGUGAGUAACACGUAUGCAACCUGCCUGUAAGCGGGGAAUAACCCGUUGAAAGACGGACUAAUACCGCAUAAUACUAAAUUACUGCACGGUAAUUUAUUUAAACAUUUAUGGCUUACAGAUGGGCAUGCGCAUGAUUAGCUAGUUGGAGAGGUAACGGCUCCCCAAGGCAACGAUCAUUAGGGGUUCUGAGAGGAAGGUCCCCCACACUGGUACUGAGACACGGACCAGACUCCUACGGGAGGCAGCAGUGAGGAAUAUUGGUCAAUGGACGAGAGUCUGAACCAGCCAAGUCGCGUGCAGGAAGAAUGUCCCUAUGGAUUGUAAACUGCUUUUGCAGGGGAAUAAAGUGCAUCACGUGUGAUGUUUUGUAUGUACUCUGCGAAUAAGGAUCGGCUAACUCCGUGCCAGCCGCCGC
rnacentral:rRNA from 1 species